rnacentral:rRNA from 1 species
AUGUUGUCUCUCUUGAGUGGAUCCUGAGUACGACGGAGCACGUGAAAUUCCGUCGGAAUCUGGGAGGACCAUCUCCUAAGGCUAAAUACUCUCUAGUGACCGAUAGUGAACCAGUACCGUGAGGGAAAGGUGAAAAGCACCCCGGAAGGGGAGUGAAAUAGAACCUGAAACCGUGUGCUUACAAGUAGUCAGAGCCCGUUAAUGGGUGAUGGCGUGCCUUUUGUAGAAUGAACCGGCGAGUUACGAUUUGAUGCAAGGUUAAGCAGUAAAUGUGGAGCCGUAGCGAAAGCGAGUCUGAAUAGGGCGUUUAGUAUUUGGUCGUAGACCCGAAACCAGGUGAUCUACCCUUGGUCAGGUUGAAGUUCAGGUAACACUGAAUGGAGGACCGAACCGACUUACGUUGAAAAGUGAGCGGAUGAACUGAGGGUAGCGGAGAAAUUCCAAUCGAACCUGGAGAUAGCUGGUUCUCUCCGAAAUAGCUUUAGGGCUAGCCUCAAGUGAUGAUUAUUGGAGGUAGAGCACUGUUUGGACGAGGGGCCCCUCUCGGGUUACCGAAUUCAGACAAACUCCGAAUGCCAAUUAAUUUAACUUGGGAGUCAGAACAUGGGUGAUAAGGUCCGUGUUCGAAAGGGAAACAGCCCAGACCACCAGCUAAGGUCCCAAAAUAUAUGUUAAGUGGAAAAGGAUGUGGCGUUGCCCAGACAACUAGGAUGUUGGCUUAGAAGCAGCCAUCAUUUAAAGAGUGCGUAAUAGCUCACUAGUCGAGUGACACUGCGCCGAAAAUGUACCGGGGCUAAACAUAUUACCGAAGCUGUGGAUUGUCCUUUGGACAAUGGUAGGAGAGCGUUCUAAGGGCGUUGAAGCAUGAUCGUAAGGACAUGUGGAGCGCUUAGAAGUGAGAAUGCCGGUGUGAGUAGCGAAAGACGGGUGAGAAUCCCGUCCACCGAUUGACUAAGGUUUCCAGAGGAAGGCUCGUCCGCUCUGGGUUAGUCGGGUCCUAAGCUGAGGCCGACAGGCGUAGGCGAUGGAUAACAGGUUGAUAUUCCUGUACCACCUAUAAUCGUUUUAAUCGAUGGGGGGACGCAGUAGGAUAGGCGAAGCGUGCGAUUGGAUUGCAC